rnacentral:rRNA from 1 species
GAUGAACGCUAGCGGCAGGCUUAACACAUGCAAGUCGAGGGGCAGCGCGAUGUAGCAAUACAUUGGUGGCGACCGGCGCACGGGUGCGUAACACGUAUGGAACUUACCCUUUACUGGGAGAUAGCCCGGAGAAAUCCGGAUUAAUAUCCCAUAAUAAACGAGGUGGCAUCACUUUGUUUUGAAAGCUCCGGCGGUAAAGGAUGGCCAUGCGCACGAUUAGCUAGUAGGUGAGGUAACGGCUCACCUAGGCUACGAUCGUUAGGGGGCCUGAGAGGGUUAUCCCCCACACUGGUACUGAGACACGGACCAGACUCCUACGGGAGGCAGCAGUGAGGAAUAUUGGUCAAUGGACGCAAGUCUGAACCAGCCAUGCCGCGUGGAGGAUGACAGCCUUCUGGGUUGUAAACUUCUUUUAUAUGGGAAGAAAGCGUGGUUUCUACUGCGUCCGACGGUACCAUAUGAAUAAGCACCGGCUAACUCCGUGCCAGCAGCCGACGG